rnacentral:rRNA from 1 species
GAUGAACGCUGGCGGCGUGCCUAAUACAUGCAAGUCGAGCGAACAGACGAGGAGCUUGCUCCUCUGACGUUAGCGGCGGACGGGUGAGUAACACGUGGAUAACCUACCUAUAAGACUGGGAUAACUUCGGGAAACCGGAGCUAAUACCGGAUAAUAUAUCGAACCGCAUGGUGCAAUAGUGAAAGACGGUUUUGCUGUCACUUAUAGAUGGAUCCGCGCCGCAUUAGCUAGUUGGUAAGGUAACGGCUUACCAAGGCAACGAUGCGUAGCCGACCUGAGAGGGUGAUCGGCCACACUGGAACUGAGACACGGUCCAGACUCCUACGGGAGGCAGCAGUAGGGAAUCUUCCGCAAUGGGCGAAAGCCUGACGGAGCAACGCCGCGUGAGUGAUGAAGGUCUUCGGAUCGUAAAACUCUGUUAUUAGGGAAGAACAAAUGUGUAAGUAACUAUGCACGUCUUGACGGUACCUAAUCAGAAAGCCACGGCUAACUACGUG